CAGGAUGAACGCUGGCGGCGUGCUUAACACAUGCAAGUCGAACGAAGCAUUCCAACUCUCGGAGGAAGAAAUGACUGAGUGGCGGACGGGUGAGUAACGCGUGGGUAACCUGCCUUAUACAGGGGGAUAACAGUUAGAAAUGACUGCUAAUACCGCAUAACCCGCUAGUACCGCAUGGUACAGACGGAAAAGAUUUAUCGGUAUAAGAUGGACCCGCGUCUGAUUAGCUAGUUGGUGAGGUAAUGGCUCACCAAGGCGACGAUCAGUAGCCGGCUUGAGAGAGUGAACGGCCACAUUGGGACUGAGACACGGCCCAAACUCCUACGGGAGGCAGCAGUGGGGAAUAUUGCACAAUGGGGGAAACCCUGAUGCAGCAACGCCGCGUGAAGGAAGAAGUAUUUCGGUAUGUAAACUUCUAUCAGCAGGAAAGAAAAUGACGGUACCUGACUAAGAAGCCCCGGCUAACUACGUGCCAGCAGCCGC
rnacentral:rRNA from 1 species